GACGAACGCUGGCGGCGUGCCUAAUACAUGCAAGUAGAACGCUGAAGAGAGGAGCUUACUCUUCUUGGAUGAGUUGCGAACGGGUGAGUAACGCGUAGGUAACCUGCCUUGUAGCGGGGGAUAACUAUUGGAAACGAUAGCUAAUACCGCAUAACAAUGGGUGACACAUGUCAUUUAUUUGAAAGGGGCAAUUGCUCCACUACAAGAUGGACCUGCGUUGUAUUAGCUAGUAGGUGAGGUAAUGGCUCACCUAGGCGACGAUACAUAGCCGACCUGAGAGGGUGAUCGGCCACACUGGGACUGAGACACGGCCCAGACUCCUACGGGAGGCAGCAGUAGGGAAUCUUCGGCAAUGGGGGCAACCCUGACCGAGCAACGCCGCGUGAGUGAAGAAGGUUUUCGGAUCGUAAAGCUCUGUUGUAAGUCAAGAACGGGUGUGAGAGUGGAAAGUUCACACUGUGACGGUAGCUUACCAGAAAGGGACGGCUAACUACGUG
rnacentral:rRNA from 1 species